GAUGCUCAUCUUCCUAACCUUCAGUUUUCUCUGUGCAAAUUCUGUCAUAGGAGUUCAAACUGAAUACCGGUUUCCAAAGGCUCUGCUAACCGAUGCCAAGAUCACCAUUGAUAACAUCCAUCUGCAGAAUAAUGACCAACAAUGCAAAGCACAAGAUGCAGGAAACUGGGUGGUGGUGAGGGUACUAUUCAGCGCGUGUGGAACUGCGUCUCGGGUGGAAGGAAACAAGAUAGUUUAUUCCAACACGGUUUAUGGCACUGUUACAGACACCCCAAUACCUGUACGUCGUCUUGAGAUCCCUUUAACAUGCGAGAUGACGGCUAAUGAGACCUUCAGUUUUCAGUUCAACCCUAUGGUUGAGGGUAUGGCUGAAUCAGGGUAAAUACAAGGUCUCUCUACACUUAUUCAAAACUAAAGCCUUUAAUGAUCCAGUCACGGAAUUUCCCUAUGAAGUGGAUCUGAGUGGGAGGCUCUACAUUGAAUUUGUUGUGGAUUCUAAGGAUACAAGCCUCCAGGUAUCUGCAGAUUCCUGCUACUCCUCACCCACAGACACCAAGGGAAAGGACACCUACACCAUCAUUAAAAACAGGUACGUCUGGUGCUAAACACAAACUUCUUUUACCCAGACCUCAUUGAAUUUCUAAAAUCUGGGGAUCCCCGAGUGUCUCUUCUGGUAAAAGCACAGGGUGAGACAGCACAGGUUUGUCUCUUGGCAGUGUUAGGAAGGCUAAGAUGGAAGGCAUUGCUUUUCCUCAUCACUUUUAUAAUGGAUCCUGACAGCCAGGCACAUGAUUUAUUAACAGAGACUGUUAUCCAGGGCAACUUACAAUACAUAUAUAUACAGUA